rnacentral:tRNA from 1 species
AAGAUAUUAGUAUAAUCAAUACCCAAUUUUGUCAAAAUUGAAAAAUAGGCUAACCCCUAUAUAUCUUU